rfam:Drosophila sechellia strain Rob3c scaffold_1 genomic scaffold, whole genome shotgun sequence.
CGAAUAAGUGAAUAAAGAGAGCUGUCCGUCGACAGUCCAGAAACCAUUUAAUAUCACUGUCAUGGAAUUGCUCUCUUUGUAUAAUAUUCG